UCCCUAGUCCUAGCCUUUCAUCCCUCUAACUCUAUAUAUUUUCUCGGUUUCUCCAUAACUGAAGCUUUUCAAGAUUUUUUUGCAUGGUCCUAGUUUGAGAAAAGUUAUGAAAAAGUGGUCUUUUGAAACGAAAAAUACAAAAAUAUAUAAAGAAUAAGAAAAAGUAAAAACAUAAACACACAAGAAAAGAAAUACACAAGAAAAAUAAAGAAGGACCUUCCCCUCUUAUACUCAAUAAUUU
rnacentral:lncRNA from 1 species